rnacentral:rRNA from 1 species
CCUACGGGUGGCAGCAGUGAGGAAUAUUGGUCAAUGGGCGCGAGCCUGAACCAGCCAAGUAGCGUGAAGGAUGACUGCCCUACGGGUUGUAAACUUCUUUUAUAAAGGAAUAAAGUGAGGCACGUGUGCCUUUUUGCAUGUACUUUAUGAAUAAGGAUCGGCUAACUCCGUGCCAGCAACCGCGGUAAUACUGAGGAUCCGAGCGUUAUCCGGAUUUAUUGGGUUUAAAGGGAGCGUCGAUGGGUUGUUAAGUCAGCUGUGAAAGUUUGCGGCUCAACCGUAAAAGUGCAAUUGAUACUGGCGGUCUUGAGUGCAGUAGAGGUAGGCGGAAUUCGUGGUGUAGCGGUGAAAUGCUUAGAUAUCACGAAGAACCCCGAUUGCGAAGGCAGCUUACUAGACUGCAACUGACAUUGAUGCUCGAAAGUGUGGGUAUCAAACAGGAUUAGAUACCCGGGUAGUC